GAAAAUUCUGAGAAAAUUGAUUAACUGAAAAAAUGAGCCAAUAGAAAGUCACGACACAUUGGAGGAAAAUUUCUUAGUCAUAAGGGAUAAGAUAUAGAGACAAUGGUGCAUGAUCUAUACAGAAAGAGAAGGAUGAAAGAUAAGGCUCUCACGAGAGAACGUUUAAGAACGUUUAAUUUUCCAACUUUGAUAUUAAAAAAAAA
rnacentral:lncRNA from 1 species